rnacentral:rRNA from 1 species
GACGAACGCUGGCGGCGUGCCUAAUACAUGCAAGUCGAGCGGACCAAAGGGAGCUUGCUCCUGGAGGUUAGCGGCGAACGGGUGAGUAACACGUGGGCAACCUGCCUGUAAGACUGGGAUAACAUCGAGAAAUCGGUGCUAAUACCGGAUAAUAAAAAGAACUGCAUGGUUCUUUUUUGAAAGAUGGUUUCGGCUAUCACUUACAGAUGGGCCCGCGGCGCAUUAGCUAGUUGGUGGGGUAACGGCUCACCAAGGCGACGAUGCGUAGCCGACCUGAGAGGGUGAUCGGCACACUGGGACUGAGACACGGCCCAGACUCCUACGGGAGGCAGCGGUAGGGAAUCUUCCGCAAUGGACGAAAGUCUGACGGAGCAACGCCGCGUGAGUGAUGAAGGUUUUCGGAUCGUAAAACUCUGUUGUUAGGGAAGAACGAAGUAG